AUGCCAACUCUAUGAGUGUGCCUAUUAUCAAC
rnacentral:piRNA from 1 species